AAAAAAUUUAACUAUUUUUUGACUUUAUUGCUCGCAAGGGUAAAUUUGAGCUUAUAAACUCCCUGUCCGCAUUUACACCCAUUUUAAGGCGUGGAUUUUUUCUUUUCUUUUUGAAUUUAAGGCGUGCAUUUUUUGGAACUCCACGUGCUCAAAGUAAUAGGUUUUCUUAGGGGGGCUCUGCUCGCUGAUCCGAUGAUUCAUGAUAACUCGACGGAUCGCACGGCCUUCAUGCCGGCGACGCAUCAUUCAAAUUUCUGCCCUAUCAACUUUCGAUGGUAGGAUAGGGGCUACCGUGGUGGUGAUGGGUGACGGAGAAUUAGUACUCAAAG
rnacentral:rRNA from 2 species